GCGGAGCCGAAGCGAAAGCGAGUCUUAAUAGGGCGACUAGUAACAGGGUGUAGACCCGAAACCGCAGUGAUCUAUCCAUGGUCAGGUUGAAGCGCAGGUAAAAAUGCGUGGAGGACCGAACCCGUGAGUGUUGAAAAACUUUGGGAUGAACCGUGGAUAGGGGUGAAAUGCCAAUCGAACGCGGAGAUAGCUGGUACUCCCCGAAAUAGCUUUAGGGCUAGCCUCAGGGAAGAUUAUAGACGGUAGAGCACUGAUCUGGCAAGGGGGCGUAAAGCCUACCGACCCUAGUCAAACUUCGAAUGGCUAUAAUUAAGACCCUGGGAGUCAGACUGCGAGUGAUAAGACCCGUAGUCAAGAGGGAAACAGCCCAGACCGCCGACUAAGGUCCCCAAUGCUGUACUAAGUGGAAAAGGAUGUAAGACUUCAUAAACAACCAGGAUGUUGGCUUAGAAGCAGCCACCAUUAAAAGAGUGCGUAAUAGCUCACUGGUCGAGAGGCCUUGCGCCGAAGAUGUCCGGGGCUCAAGUACAGAACCGAAGUCGCGGCAGGAUUAUAUAAUUCUGGGUAGGGGAGCGUUGUAUAUCCGACUGAAGGUGUACCGGAAGGAGCGCUGGAGGAUAUACAAGAGAGAAUGCCGGUAUGAGUAGCGAAAAGAACAGUGAGAAUCUGUUCCACCGAAAGCCUAAGGUUUCCUGAGCAACGCUCGUCGACUCAGGGUAAGUCGGGACCUAAGCCGAGGCAAAAAGCAUAGGCGAUGGACAACAGGUUAAUAUUCCUGUACCGCUUCAAAUCGUUUGAGCAAUGGAGUGACACAGAAGGUAGCUUGAGCACGCGAAUGGAUGUGCGUGUCGAAGGUGGUAGGUUGCAGUAUAGGUAAAUCCGUACUGUAUAAGACCGAGAACUGAUAGAUAGACGAUACUUCGGUAAAGUCAAAUUCAAGUGAGCCAUGCUGUCGAGAAAAGCUUCUAGUGAGAGAUGAGGCGCCCGUACCGAAACCGACACAGGUAGGCGGGGAGAGAAUCCUAAGGUGCGCGGGACAACCCUCGUUAAGGAACUCGGCAAAUUGUAUCCGUAACUUAGGGAUAAGGAUAGCCGGAGGAUGUGAAGGGAUUUACUUCUGGAGCGUCAGCCGGUGGCACAAGAGAGGCCCAAGCGACUGUUUAGCACAAACACAGGUGCCUGCAAAAGAGAAAUCUGACGUAUAGGUGCUGACACCUGCCCGGUGCUGGAAGGUUAAGAGGAGGGCUUAGAGGAAACUCGAAGGCUUGAAUUGAAGCCCCAGUAAACGGCGGCCGUAACUAUAACGGUCCUAAGGUAGCGAAAUUCCUUGUCGGGU
rnacentral:rRNA from 1 species